rnacentral:rRNA from 1 species
UACGUAGGGUGCGAGCGUUGUCCGGAAUUAUUGGGCGUAAAGGGCUCGUAGGCGGUCUGUCACGUCGGGAGUGAAAACCCAGGGCUCAACCCUGGGCCUGCUUCCGAUACGGGCAGACUAGAGGUAUGCAGGGGAGAAUGGAAUUCCUGGUGUAGCGGUGAAAUGCGCAGAUAUCAGGAGGAACACCGGUGGCGAAGGCGGUUCUCUGGGCAUUACCUGACGCUUAGGAGCGAAAGUGUGGGGAGCGAACAGG